rnacentral:rRNA from 1 species
AUUGGAGGGCAAGUCUGGUGCCAGCAGCCGCGGUAAUUCCAGCUCCAAUAGCGUAUAUUAAAGUUGUUGCGGUUAAAACGUUCGUAGUUGAAUUUGUGCUUCAUACGGGUAGUACACCUAAAAUUUGGGUUAGUACAUCACCUAUAGUAUGUAAGCGUAUUACCGGUGGAGUUCUUAUAUAUUAUGUAAAAAUAUUUAUGUAAUAUAUUCCUCCUAUUUAAACCUGAUUCAAUGCUCUUUACCGAGUGUUGCUUUGGGCCGGUACAAUUACUUUGAACAAAUUAGAGUGCUUAAAGCAGGCUCUUAAUGCCUGAAUAUUCUGUGCAUGGAAUAAUGGAAUAAGACCUCUGUUCUAAUUUCAUUGGUUUUUAGAUCAAGAGGUAAUGAUUAAUAGAAGCAGUUGGGGGCAUUAGUAUUACGACGCGAGAGGUGAAAUUCUUGGACCGUCGUAAGACUAACUUAAGCGAAAGCAUUUGCCAAAGAUGUUUUCAUUAAUCAAGAACGAAAGUUAGAGGUUCGAAGGCGAUCAGAUACCGCCCUAGUUCUAACCAUAAACGAUGCCAGCCAGCAAUUGGGUGUAGCUACUUUUAUGGCUCUCUCAGUCGCUUCCCGGGAAACCAAAGCUUUUGGGCUCCGGGGGAAGUAUGGUUGCAAAGCUGAAACUUAAAGGAAUUGACGGAAGGGCACCA